GACCUCAAAUCAGGUAGGAU
rnacentral:rRNA from 1 species